UACGUAGGGCGCAAGCGUUGUCCGGAAUUAUUGGGCGUAAAGAGCUCGUAGGCGGUUUGUCGCGUCUGUCGUGAAAGCUUGGGGCUUAACCCCAAGUCUGCGGUGGAUACGGGCAGACUAGAGGCAGGUAGGGGAGACUGGAAUUCCUGGUGUAGCGGUGGAAUGCGCAGAUAUCAGGAGGAACACCGGUGGCGAAGGCGGGUCUCUGGGCAGUAACUGACGCUGAGGAGCGAAAGCGUGGGGAGCGAACAGG
rnacentral:rRNA from 1 species